rnacentral:rRNA from 1 species
UGGGGAAUAUUGCGCAAUGGGCGGAAGCCUGACGCAGCGACGCCGCGUGGGGGAUGAAGGCCUUCGGGUUGUAAACCUCUUUCAGCACCGACGAAGAUGACGGUAGGUGCAGAAGAAGCGCCGGCUAACUACGUGCCAGCAGCCGCGGUAAUACGUAGGGCGCAAGCGUUGUCCGGAAUUAUUGGGCGUAAAGAGCUCGUAGGCGGUCUGUCGCGUCCGUCGUGAAAGCCCGGGGCUUAACCCCGGGUCUGCGGUGGAUACGGGCAGACUAGAGGCAGGUAGGGGAGAACGGAAUUCCCGGUGUAGCGGUGAAAUGCGCAGAUAUCGGGAGGAACACCGGUGGCGAAGGCGGUUCUCUGGGCCUGUACUGACGCUGAGGAGCGAAAGCGUGGGGAGCGAACAG